rnacentral:misc_RNA from 1 species
UCCGGUUUAUCACCGGCAGUCCCCCUAGAGUUCCCGGCCGAACCGCUGGCAACUAAGGGUAGGGGUUGCGCCCGUUGCGGGACUUAACCCAACAUCUCACGACACGAGCUGACGACAGCCAUGCAGCACCUUCACGACGGCCCCGAAGGGAAAAUCCUAUUCCUAGGACGGUCCGCCGUUGUCUAGCCCAGGUAAGGUUCUUCGCGUUGCGUCGAAUUGAACCACAUGCUCCACCGCUUGUGCGGGCCCCCGUCAAUUCCUUUGAGUUUCAGUCUUGCGACCGUACUCCCCAGGCGGAGUGCUUAAUGUGUUGACUUCGGCACAGCAGGGGUCGAUACCCGCUACACCAAGCACUCAUCGUUUACGGCGUGGACUAC